rnacentral:lncRNA from 10 species
AGUCGGAGGCCCGGCUGCUGGGGGGCACUGGGGCAGGCCUUACCGCCAACCCCGCACCCUCGGCCGGGAGGCUGCAGGUCGGUGGCUAACCCCAGGCGUGUCCCGGGAUGGGACCCGACUCUGCCCUCAGAGACAGGGACAGUCGGGCCAGGCCAACAAACAACCAAAAUCCCAACGUGUGCUGGGCUCACCCGGGACACCAGGGCCGGAGGGAGAGACCCGGGAAGUCACCGAGGCUGCAGGGGAGGCAGCUUUGGCGCUGGGCCUGCGGGAGCCUCUUGUAUAGGAAUUCAUAGCUACCGGGGUUACUGAGGAUGAGUUAGGCUUUGGAACCACAAGUAGAUUUAUUUUCCAAAGAAGAAGAAUAAAAUGGUGCAGGUGAAGAUGCGGAGGAACUGGAUGAGACGCAUAGGAACGCCACUGGGCAGCUCAAAGCGGUGUUCCUGUGAGUUCACCAUGGACCCCUUGAGCCACCGACGCCCCGCCCAGCCUUACACUCAGCAGAAACGCAUACAACAUGUGCUCCAAAAGACAGAAAGACAUGUAGCCGCACAUUCAUAAUUCCUCCAAUUGGGAAGCCUAGCGUCAUCAAGGCAGAUGAAUAUCGUGGAGUAUUCGGGCUUAGGAGCACGACAAACGGAACAGGAGUGAAUGAUCCGCAACUCACAUAACGGGUAAAUCUCACAGA